UACGUAGGGUGCAAGCGUUGUCCGGAAUUAUUGGGCGUAAAGAGCUCGUAGGCGGUGUGUCACGUCGGCCGUGAAAACCUGCAGCUUAACUGUGGGCGUGCGGUCGAUACGGGCAUCACUGGAGUUCGGCAGGGGAGACUGGAAUUCCUGGUGUAGCGGUGAAAUGCGCAGAUAUCGAGAGGAACACCUGCGGCGAAGGCGGGUUGCUGGGCUGAUACUGACGCUGAUGCGCGAAAGCCAGGGGAGCGAACGGG
rnacentral:rRNA from 1 species